ACACGACUACAUUAGAUACCCUGUAGUCCUAGCCGUAAACGAUACUCGCUAGGUGUCGGCCACGGUGCGACCGUUGUCGGUGCCGUAGGGAAGCCGUGAAGCGAGCCACCUGGGAAGUACGGCCGCAAGGCUGAAACUUAAAGGAAUUGGCGGGGGAGCACCGCAACGGGAGGAGCGUGCGGUUCAAUUGGAUUCAACGCCGGACAACUCACCAGGAGCGACGGUUACAUGAAGGCCAGGCUGAUGACCUUGCCUGAUUUUCCG
rnacentral:rRNA from 1 species